UAGAGUAACGCGUGAGCAACCUGCCUAUGACAGUGGGAUAGCCUCGGGAAACCGGGAUUAAUACCGCAUGAAAUCGUAGAAACACAUGUUUUAACGGUCAAAGAUUUAUCGGUCAUAGAUGGGCUCGCGUCUGAUUAGCUAGUUGGUGAGAUAACAGCCCACCAAGGCGACGAUCAGUAGCCGGUCUGAGAGGAUGAACGGCCACAUUGGAACUGAGACACGGUCCAA
rnacentral:rRNA from 1 species